AAGCUGGAAUCGCUAGUAAUCGCGGAUCAGAAUGCCGCGGUGAAUACGUUCCCGGGUCUUGUACACACCGCCCGUCACACCAUGGGAGUCGGAAAUGCCCGAAGUCUGUGACCCAACCUGCAAGGGAGGGAGCAGCCGAAGGCAGGUCGGAUGACUGGGGUGAAGUCGUAACAAGGUACC
rnacentral:rRNA from 1 species